AGUCGUGGCUGACUGCGGGGGGAGGCGUGAGUGUGGAGGCACGUCCUCCAGCAGCCUCUGAGAUCUCCCUGUGUAUUCGCCAAGGGGAAAACUCCGAGAGGGAAAGCCAGCUGUGAAAAUACAUUUGUCCAAUGAUGCCGCAGGACCUGACAUACAGUCAUACUGAUGUGCUGAUGCCUUCUUUCUUUUCCUCCUGCUUACAUCUACAAUAAUAAACGCAUCGUAUGCUCAUUAGACCGGGCUGCGCGGGAAGCCGGUGCCGGCAGCGGGGGAAAGAAGGCCUACUCCUUGCAUCGGGCCUCCAGUGUGACAACAGAACUCUGGUGACUGCUGUAUACCGCAGCAACCACCAACCGAAACCACACUCAAAGCACAGGCAUUUACAACAUCCACCACACUGGCACCCUGGGGUACAAACCUCACAGAACGUGUGUGCUGAGUGACAAACGCAGUGAGGGAAGGCAGAGGCCUCGGGGAGACACACGGAGGAGUUAACAAGGGGAAGGGUCCAUCUCUCCGGGGCCGGAGCUCCUGUGGAGAUUCCAGCCGGCCUGCUGCAGACACACUAAGUGCCUGUGGAAAGCUAGGCGCCCGGGGAGAGGAGAGCUCUGGAAAGGGGUCAUCUCUGUGCUGGACAGUUCUAGAGUUUCGACAGAUUGCGAGUGUCCUAAUCGUAUGCACACUGAGUGACCACAGUCCGUGUUUAUUGACUUGCUAGAGGCCCGAUAUAGGAAAUGUGUGCAAGGGCCUGUUUGUUCUGUAAGGCCAGUCUGCAGUCUGGUCUAAUUGGCAUAUUAGCUCUUUGUUAUAUGGGACAGUUCACUUUCCACAUGCAUUUCCAGUCAUCAUGGUGCAGUUUAGGUCACUGAAUAAUCCAAUGUCUCUUUAGGAGUUUGUAUGUUGGCCACACACACACACACACACACAAACACGGCUAUCCUCUAUUAUUUUAGGCUGAACAUGUUUACUACAAGGCUGAGCUAUAGAAUAACAAGACCUAAGAAAACCAGCUACUCACAGUCCUGUGAAAUCACUGGCACAUGCAGAGAGCAAGUGUCCUUUCCCCAGACCACACACAUUUAAACUCUAGAAGUAUAUGCCUUGCAUACAGGGGUUUGGGGUUUAACUUCCUUGUUACUAUCGUUACUCUAAAAGUUGCAUACAAAUUCAAGCUUCUUUUUCUAAAAAUGUGACAUUUACCAAAG